UACAGAGGGUGCAAGCGUUGUUCGGAAUUAUUGGGCGUAAAGGGAGUGUAGGCGGCUUGUUAAGUCUUCUGUGAAAUCUACGGGCUCAGCCUGUAACGUGCAGAGGAAACUGGCGAGCUUGAGUGUCGGAGAGGAUAGGGGAAUACCCGGUGUAGCGGUGAAAUGCGCAGAUAUCGGGAGGAACACCAGUAGCGAAGGCGGCACCCUGGGCCGGUACUGACGCUGAGGAGCGAAAGCGUGGGGAGCGAACAGG
rnacentral:rRNA from 1 species